rnacentral:rRNA from 1 species
GAUGAACGCUGGCGGCGUGCCUAAUACAUGCAAGUCGAGCGAACAGACGAGGAGCUUGCUCCUCUGACGUUAGCGGCGGACGGGUGAGUAACACGUGGAUCACCUACCUAUAAGACUGGGAUAACUUCGGGAAACCGGAGCUAAUACCGGAUAAUAUAUUGAACCGCAUGGUUCAAUAGUGAAAGACGGUUUUGCUGUCACUUAUAGCUGGAUCCGCGCCGCAUUAGCUAGUUGGUAAGGUAACGGCUUACCAAGGCGACGAUGCGUAGCCGACCUGAGAGGGUGAUCGGCCACACUGGAACUGAGACACGGUCCAGACGACUACGGGAGGCAGCAGUAGGGAAUCGGCCGCAAUGGGCGAAAGCCUGACGGAGCAACGCCGCGUGAGUGAUGAAGGUCUUCGGAUCGUAAAACUCUGUUAUUAGGGAAGAACAAAUGUGUAAGUAACUAUGCACGUCUUGACGGUACCUAAUCAGAAAGCCACGGCUAACUACGUG